rnacentral:rRNA from 1 species
CCUACGGGUGGCUGCAGUGGGGAAUAUUGCACAAUGGGCGCAAGCCUGAUGCAGCCAUGCCGCGUGUGUGAAGAAGGCCUUCGGGUUGUAAAGCACUUUCAGCGGGGAGGAAGGCGUUAAGGUUAAUAACCUUGGCGAUUGACGUUACCCGCAGAAGAAGCACCGGCUAACUCCGUGCCAGCAGCCGCGGUAAUACGGAGGGUGCAAGCGUUAAUCGGAAUUACUGGGCGUAAAGCGCACGCAGGCGGUCUGUCAAGUCGGAUGUGAAAUCCCCGGGCUCAACCUGGGAACUGCAUUCGAAACUGGCAGGCUAGAGUCUUGUAGAGGGGGGUAGAAUUCCAGGUGUAGCGGUGAAAUGCGUAGAGAUCUGGAGGAAUACCGGUGGCGGAGGCGGCCCCCUGGACAGAGACUGACGCUCAGGUGCGAAAGCGUGGGGAGCAAACAGGAUUAGAUACCCGAGUAGUC